rnacentral:rRNA from 1 species
GCUGAAUGUGGGGAUAAUUUAUCUCCGUGUUGAAGCUAACGCGUUAGCACUCCGCCUGGGGACUACGGUCGCAAGACUAAAACUCAAAGGAAUUGACGGGGACCCGCACAAGCGGUGGAGCAUGUGGUUUAAUUCGAUGCAACGCGAAAAACCUUACCACUCCUUGACAUGGAGAUUAGAUCCUUCUUAACGGAAGGGCGCAGUUCGGCUGGGUCUCGCACAGGUGCUGCAUGGCUGUCGUCAGCUCGUGUCGUGAGAUGUUGGGUUAAGUCCCGCAACGAGCGUAACCCUCAUCCUUAGUUGCCAGCGGAUAAUGCCGGGUACUUUAAGGAAACUGCCGGUGGUAAACCGGAGGAAGGUGGGGAUGAUGUCAAGUCAGCACGGCCCUUAUGGGGUGGGCUACACACGUGCUACAAUGGUGACUACAAUAGGUUGCAACGCCGCAAGGCUGAGCUAAUCCAUAAAAGUCAUCUCAGUUCGGAUUGUCCUCUGUAACUCGAGGGCAUGAAGUCGGAAUCGCUAGUAAUCGUGGAUCAGCAUGCCACGGUGAAUACGUUCUCGGGUCUUGUACACACUGCCCGUCACGCCAUGGGAAUUGGCUUAACUCGAAGCUGGUGCGCCAACCGAAAGAAAGCCAGCCAU